rnacentral:rRNA from 1 species
ACGAACGCUGGCGGCGUGCUUAACCCCUGCAAGUCGAACGGAAAGGCCCUGCUUUUGUGGGGUGCUCGAGUGGCGAACGGGUGAGUAACACGUGAGUAACCUGCCCUUGACUUUGGGAUAACUUCAGGAAACUGGGGCUAAUACCGGAUAGGAGCUCCUGCUGCAUGGUGGGGGUUGGAAAGUUUCGGCGGUUGGGGAUGGACUCGCGGCUUAUCAGCUUGUUGGUGGGGUAGUGGCUUACCAAGGCUUUGACGGGUAGCCGGCCUGAGAGGGUGACCGGCCACAUUGGGACUGAGAUACGGCCCAGACUCCUACGGGAGGCAGCAGUGGGGAGUAUUGCACAAUGGGCGGAAGCCUGAUGCAGCAGCGCCGCGUGCGGGAUGACGGCCUUCGGGGUGUAAACCGCUUUCGCCUGUGACGAAGCGUGAGUGACGGUAAUGGGUAAAGAAGCACCGGCUAACUACGUG